CACACACACACACACACACAGAGAGAGAGAGAGAGAGAGAGAGAGAGAGAGAGAGAGAGAGAGAGAUAUGCUUCCUAAGAGGCCUGAGUGCGACCUGAUUCCUGCAGCUUGAUUUGAAUGCCUGCCUGCUCCUCCCUCCUUAGUCUUAUGCAAAGUGUAAACAGAGGUGGCUACACCUGCAGGCAAACUUGCACAUGUGUUUCCUCAUCUUUUAGCUGCCCAGAUGAAAAGCAUUAGCACCCUGAAUUUUUAAAAUAGAGCUACCUUGAGCGCAGAGAUAGAUACUAAGGUUGUGCAACAGAUUCAGCCAAGGGAAGCAGCUUGGGUGGCUCUAAAAGUGGAUGAGACAAAACCAUGGGAGCAGAAGGUACUCAGUGGCUGCCAGCCACAAGGUUUACGUUCUCCCUCUUCUGUUGGAGGCAGGGUGCCUCUGAACAGGUCCUCCUGGUGGCCAGAAGAGAGGCAAAUCAGGCUGGAGAACGAAUGUGAAUUUGGCCCUUGCAAACCAGGGAGUUUCUCUACACACAAAGCAGGUCUGGGAAUGGGUGUGACAUGCAGAGAGGGUCAUGGGGCCUGGGGGAAAUGCAUUUUUCUCCAUCUCUGGUGAAGACAGAGGGCAGGAACUCAAAGAGUCUUGGAAGGAGAUACCUCUCAUUCUGGCACUAGUGCUGGACUGUUGGGGUCUCUUCCAAUUCUUACAAUUCCAUGAUUCUGUGUACAGUAUUGGCAGUCUCUGCUAAGAAGGAGAUCUUAACAGCUGGAGGUCGGGGCUGGCCGUCAGCGCUAGUUUGUAACCACUCCUCUCAUCUCCAUAAACACCCCCACCUUCUCUUUCACUCAGAGACAGGAGGAGCUGCUCAAUUUUUCUCCUUCUAAAAAUGCUCAAUCUCUCAUCACUUCGUACAGCUUUCAGUCCCAUCCUCUGAAUGGAUUUACGAUGAACGAUCCACGUCUGUGUGUCUUAAAGAGGAAUCCUCCACGCAGCAGGCGAAAGGGGGCUGCGAAUGGCUCCAAAAGAAGCCUGGAGCUCUUUCUUCAGACUCUGUCUUUGCUAUCUUCUCUCACUGGUACUGCAAGUUUCAGAGUGCAGAAUCCUCACCAGGAGAGGGAGAGGCUGAAUGGGAUCCUGGGAGGCUCUGUGUUGCUCCCUGUAAGUAUUCCCCCCGAGAAAGCACUGAAAAUGAUUGAGUGGGAUUUCCAGGGGGGAAAUGGUUUGGGAAUUCAGCUGUCUGAAUUGAGGGAAGGAGAACUGCAGAGGAUCAAUCCAAGGGACAGGUUUGGGUCAAGAUUGGAGAUGGCCAAUGAGACCACCCUGAGGAUCAAAGACUUGGAAAUGGAUGACAGUGGCAAAUAUUCCAUUAGAGUGAAGUUUAUUUCAGCACAGUAUGAAGAUUACAACUUCCACCUCUCUGUGUAUGAACCAGUCCCAGAACCAAAAAUCCUCUCCCAUAUUGUCUCCAAAAGCCCAGAGGGCUGUAACGUGACCCUGCAAUGUCAGGUGGCUGAAAAGGGGGAAAUCAACAUCUCCUGGGAAAGAGGGGACACCUUGAGAGACUUAGAAGAUGGUUCAAAGUCAUACCACCUCUCUGGCAAUGGCAAAGAUCUCCACUUGGUCUGGAAGCUCAACUCCUCAGAUCCCAACAUCACCUGCCUGGUCACCAAUCCAGCUGAUCAGAAAAGCAUCUCCUUCAACUUGAAGCACAUCUGCCAAACUGAAGUCUUAACAGGUGGCCGUCAACUCACAUUUGUGGUGGAGCAUUUCAGGUGGGGUUUUCUCAUCAUUUUGCUCCUCUUCUUGGCUGGAUUUGGGAUAAAGACCUGGAAGACAAGAAGGAAGAUGCCCGCCAACGAAGCUGCCUCCAUGAUGGCAACAGAGGAGGCAUUUCUUGAGCCUCAGUACUCGGAGAUUGUAAAGAGGAGCCCCCCGGAAGGCAAUGAUGAGCAGCCACUCAGAGUGACUGCGGCAACCCAGUCAGACAGACAGGGUAUAAAGAGUAAAAUGAUGAUGAUGAUGUUGAAAUAGGACAUCCUUACAGUAUUUUCAUCGGAGAAAUGUUGGGAUUCCAAGUCUUACGAGUUGCCCCUCUAGAUGGCAGUGACGUGAUAACAUUGUAGAAGCACCACCGAGUAUCUAGCGGGAAAGAUGGCAACCCAGAGAUGUAUUGCUGUGAUCUCUCUCUCCAUGGACGACUCUUGGGACUCAGCUACACAGCAGUAAAUAAAACGUUUUAAGUGUGUUUUACGUGCAAUAUACAAUGUGAUGCUAGAUGGCAAUGGUGAGUCUUAAGGUUUCCUGGGCUUUGAAGACACUCGAUCUCAGGACGCAAGGGAGAAAUGUGCUAAGAGGAAGGCACACUUGGCAAAUCCACACCGUGACCAACUCCCGCCCGGAAACCAACGUCCCCACUGUGGAAGGACGUGUGGAUCCAGAAUUGGCCUCCACAGUCACUUACGGACUCA